GAUGAACGCUGGCGGCGUGCCUAAUACAUGCAAGUCGAGCGAACAGACGAGGAGCUUGCUCCUUUGACGUUAGCGGCGGACGGGUGAGUAACACGUAGGUAACCUACCUAUAAGACUGGGAUAACUUCGGGAAACCGGAGCUAAUACCGGAUAAUAUUUCGAACCGCAUGGUUCGAUAGUUAAAGAUGGCUUUGCUAUCACUUAUAGAUGGUCCUGCGCCGUAUUAGCUAGUUGGUAAGGUAACGGCUUACCAAGGCAACGAUACGUAGCCGACCUGAGAGGGUGAUCGGACACACUGGAACUGAGACACGGUCCAGACUCCUACGGGAGGCAGCAGUAGGGAAUCUUCCGCAAUGGGCGAAAGCCUGACGGAGCAACGCCGCGUGAGUGAUGAAGGUCUUCGGAUCGUAAAACUCUGUUAUUAGGGAAGAACAAACGUGUAAGUAACUGUGCACGUCUUGACGGUACCUAAUCAGAAAGCCACGGCUAACUACGUG
rnacentral:rRNA from 1 species